AUGGCGGACAAAGGGGCGCAGGACAUAACUAUUGACGACAUGCAGCCUGCUGUUUUCAAGGCAUUUCUUCACUUCAUCUACACGGAUUCAUUGCCUUCCAUGGACGAUCUUGAGGAUGAUGACAAAAGAGAAAUGUUUAAGCACUUACUCAUGGCUGCAGACAAGUAUGCGACGGGAAGAAUGAAGAUGAUAUGUGAAGGGAUGCUAUGCAAGUGUCUUGACGUUGAGACCGUGGCGACCAUCUUAGCUCUAGCUGACCAGCAUCAUUGCAGCAACCUGAAGAAUGCUUGCAUUGAAUUUAUGUUCUCUUCGAAUAAAAUGGAUGAUGUGAUCGCAAGCCAAGGGUAUCUGCACCUCAAAAGAUCUUUUCCUGGUCUUUUUGUAGAGAUGUUUGAGAGAAGUGUCAAGUCCCGCAAAAUUUAG
rnacentral:rRNA from 1 species